rfam:Nicotiana attenuata strain TT chromosome 2, whole genome shotgun sequence.
UGGAAUGAUUAUUGUAUUCGACUGUAUUCGAAUGUAUUCACGGCGUGAAACAGGGGAUUACACUAUUUUUAAACGGAAAGUGAAUCAAUUAACAUAAUAGACUCCU